AUUGAACGCUGGCGGCAGGCCUAACACAUGCACGUCGAACGAGUGGCGGACGGGUGAGUAAUGCCUAGGAAUCUGCCUGGUAGUGGGGGAUAACGUCCGGAAACGGGCGCUAAUACCGCAUACUAUCAGAUGAGCCUAGUUCGGAUUAGCUAGUUGGUGGGGUAACGGCUGACCAAGGCGACGCUCCCUAACUGGUCUGAGAGGAUGACCAGACACACUGGAACUGAGACACGGUCCAGACUCCUACGGGAGGCAGCAGUGGGGAAUAUUGCACAAUGGGCGAAAGCCUGAUGCAGCCAUGCCGCGUGUAUGAAGAAGGCCUUCGGGUUGUAAAGUACUUUCAGCGGGGAGGCGUUACCCGCAGAAGAAGCACCGGCUAACUCCGUGCCAGCAGCCGCGGUAAUAC
rnacentral:rRNA from 1 species